rnacentral:lncRNA from 1 species
GGCUUGGCAUUUUGUUAUCUUUGUCAAAAGAUAUCUCAUACCCCACAUGGCACACGCUCUUAUCUUUCAGGAUCAGAUGCUCUCUGUCUGCUUCUUGAAUCAUGUUUACGAAUGUUGCCCUUCCACAAGUGGAGAACAGCAGUGCCCUUAUGACGUUGCUACUUCAGGCCUGCCGGCAAGACUUCGGUUCCUCGGCCUCCUGCCCCAUCUUUUAUGGAUCUCAGGAACUGCCUGUGAGGCAGGUUUCAGUGGGGCUGGCGUACAACCCUGCUCACAGAACAGUACAUUGUACAUCCUGUGCUGAAGAGUUAAUUUCCCUGCUAGCUGCUCUGCCACACCUAAGGCGAACUUUCUCCCCAAGCAGCAGGAGUCAGAGGCUGCACCCAGAGAGCACCCUGGAAAACAGAGGAGCAGCAGUAUACAUCACCAGAGGCUGCAGGAGAAUACUGGAAGCAGAGGAUGGGAUCUGCCGCCUGUACCAUGCAGCAAUCAGAGCUAUCCCUACUUGUUCUUUUGAGAUAAAACACACUUUUUAAUGCUUAGAUUUUAAUUACCUUUCUACUCAAUGUACAGGCUUGUAGAGGAGCCCACCCUGUUUUGUAUUUUCUUUAAAGGAUCCAUAAGUUCAAUACGAUGAGACCUAGCUUAGUAAAGAUAAGGAAAGGUUUCCCCAGGGAUGCUGUGGCAUGAAAGAGGUUUCUGUCAUGAUAUGGUCAUUCUAACAAAGCAGAGCAAUACAUGAGGGUUUCUCACCUUUAACUUGUUGGCAUUAUACAGCACAGACCUUCCACUAAUUGUUACAAAUUCAGAAUAAGAAAAAAUAAAUGAAAAACAGAAGUUGAAAUUGUGAGUUAAUGAGAGCAAAAUGUGGAGUGGGCUGCAGCAUUCUGUUUGUUAAAUACUGUUGUUCCUGGAUCAAAGAGAGUGAGGUAUCUAGCAAUUAUUUAAACCUGUUUUAAAACUUCCUUCAAGAAAAUUUACUAAGAGACCUCCUUCUCAUAUCACGAAUGGAUUUGUGGAAAGAUGUUUACCCCUCAGAAAGCCUCAUAGUUUGGCUUAUUACAGAGACAAAAAUCAAUAACAUGCAAACUCUCACCAGUGUUUUUCUCUUUAGGAUGAUUUAAAGGUUAACAAACUGUUUCCUUAACAGUUUUGAGGCUGGUGUCAUAGAAUCAUAGAAGCAUAGAAUGUCCUGGGUUGAAAAGGACCACAAUGAUCAUUGAGUUUCAACCCCCCUGCUAUGUGCAGGGUCACCAACCACCAGACCAGGCUGCCCAGAGCCACAUCCAGCCUGGCCUUGAAUGCCUCCAGGGAUGGGGCAUCCACAGCCUCCUUGGGCAACCUGUUCAGUGCGUCACCACCCUCUGGGUGAAAAACUUCCUCCUAAUAUCUAACCUAAGCAUCCCCUGUCUCAGUUUAAGACCAUUCCCCCUUGUCCUAUCACUAUCCACCCUUGUAAACAGCCGUUCCCCAUCCUGUUUAUACGCUUCCUUCAAGUACUGGAAGGCCACAAUGAGGUCUCCACAGAGCCUUCUCUUCUCCAGGCUGGUAGGUAGGGUGGUGUUCUGAUUACAAGGAUGAAACCCUGAAGAAGCUGAAGGAAGCUGAAGAAGUAUUUCCUUGUUUCUCAGGAAAUCCCUGUGGUCUGUUGUUAUGAACGUCUCUGUAUCCAACAAAGUACAGCAUUGGCUGGAACAGCGCAGGGUAAAACAAGCUGUGGCGAGCUGACUACCUAUUUGUUCAGACACCACACUAGGGAAAUAUAUUAUGCAGGAAAAAUAAAAGUAAUGGUUAUUUUUAAGGAAAUGCCAAGUUUUAGAGGGAAAACAGUAGCCUCAGCCUAAGAAAGAUUCUCAACUCUCUCCUCUGGAGAUAGUUAGACAAAAUAAAAAAUAAUCUAUCUUCCUGCCUAUGACUUCGUUCUGUAGUUACUGAAGUAAAGAGCAAUAUUCCCAUUAACCAAAGUUGUACAAUUAUGAGUCUUGACUGCCUUAGAGAUAAGCCAUCAAUCUUCUCUCUGCUAAACAAAGGAGCUUACAAUCCCCUUUCAAGAUUAUUAACAUUUAUGUACCAGGAUAGAUAGGCCAUUUCUGGAAGCAACAGAGAAGAGCACAAAGGGUUUGGGGCAAAAUGUAUCACUCAGAUGAUUUGACAAGAACCCCUCAUCAGUCAAAGGCAUGGGCCAAUGAUUUUACAUACAUACCUUGCCAGUAAGGCAUUUAGUUUUCUUUCAAUCUUAAUAAUUCAUAGCACAAAAAAAUUAGAUUCCUAAAUAACACCGCUCCUUCUAAAUGGAAACUAUUUAAAAAUAGGUUAAAAAUAUUAAAAUUUAUUAGAAAUAAAUUCCUUACAUAGAUUGUACGUGGAAAUAUAAUAUUGAAGUGGUCCUCUGCAGUCAAACCUGAGGCUACUUAUGUAUUGACUGCCUGUAUCAGCACACAGCUUGUCACAAAAGCAAGACCUUAUGAUGAAAACAGUGGAUCAUUUCUGCUGCCUUUUCUCCAGUAAGACUGCCAUUUGCUUUCAAUAAAAGACUGCCUGAGUAAAGACAAUAGAAGAAGGUCCCAUAUUUGAAAAACAAGAGCAAACGCAAGUAAAUAGGAACCAGGAAUAAAGGAGAAAGACCCAAAAAACAAAACAAACAGCAACAACAACAACAACAAAAACAGAACAAGAAGAGCAGGGGGAAAUAAACAGUUUAAUGAGACUGGGAGUGUGGAGAUUAUGUCAGUUUUCAUGCUAGUUUUAAAGUCAAAUUAAGAAGAAAACAAUAACUUUUAUGUGAAAUAUAUGUAUACGGGUAGAUGCAAUUUGGCAUAUCGCGCUUUCCUCAGUACACAUAGGGGUUAUCAGCCUUGUUUGGGUUUAGAAGGCCUACAGAGAUGCUCCUCAGUGUGAAGUGCUUGAAUAAAUCACAUUAUCUUAUUUACUAGGCUGCGUUUUCUCCUCUAUUUUGUCUUACAGGCUGAGUUUGUGUGCCUCACGCUUAGCUUCACCAUACCUCUUCUCUAAAACAGUAACUUCUAAAGACGGUUUCCAUUUAUUUCUAGAGUUGCAGGGAAUAUUCAUGGCAUGAGUGGGCAGAACUUUGAUUCUGGUAAAUAUUUAGUAACACAAAAGGAAAUUUAAAAAAAAAAAGGCUACAGAGCCUUUUCCAUUUGUUUAUCAGAGCUGUAGUCACAAGUACUUUCCUCAGUGUAUACUGAAUCAAAAAUGCAUUAAGGAUACACAUUAACACCUUCCAGGAUAACAGUGCCCAUUCUCCCUGAUAGUCCUUUCGGGAGGACCACCACAAAUGUCCUAUUCUGUGUCGUUUUGCCUCCUAGCUGCAUGUCUCCUUUGGAAAUUGAUGGA